rnacentral:tRNA from 1 species
GCGGAAGUGGCGGAACUGGCAGACGCGCUAGAUUCAGGGUCUAGUAGGGGCAACCUUGUGGGGGUUCAACUCCCCCCUUCCGCACCA